rnacentral:rRNA from 1 species
GACGAACCGUGCGAACGUUAUUCGGAAUCACUGGGCUUAAAGCGCGUGUAGGCGGGUCGGCGCGUCGGUCGCUGAAAUCCCCCGGCUCAACCGGGGAAGGGGCGCCGAAACGGCCGGCCUGGAGGGACGUAGGGGGGGCUGGAACUUCCGGUGGAGCGGUGAAAUGCGUUGAGAUCAUGAGGAAGACCAGUGGCGAAGGCGGGUCUCUGGACAGUUCCUGACACUGAGGCACGAAGGUCAGGGGAGCAAACGGG